AACGAACGCUGGCGGCAGGCUUAACACAUGCAAGUCGAACGAUCUCUUCGGAGAUAGUGGCAGACGGGUGAGUAACACGUGGGAAUCUACCUGGUUCUUCGGGAUAACUGAUGGAAACGUCAGCUAAUACCGGAUACGCCCUUUUGGGGAAAGAUUUAUCGGAAUCAGAUGAGCCCGCGUAAGAUUAGCUAGUUGGUGGGGUAACGGCUCACCAAGGCGACGAUCUUUAGCUGGUCUGAGAGGAUGAUCAGCCACACUGGGACUGAGACACGGCCCAGACUCCUACGGGAGGCAGCAGUGGGGAAUAUUGGACAAUGGGGGCAACCCUGAUCCAGCCAUGCCGCGUGAGUGAUGAAGGCCUUAGGGUUGUAAAGCUCUUUCACCGGUGAAGAUAAUGACGGUAACCGGAGAAGAAGCCCCGGCUAACUUCGUGCCAGCAGCCGCGGUAAUACGAAGGGGGCUAGCGUUGUUCGGAAUUACUGGGCGUAAAGCGCACGUAGGCGGAUUGGUCAGUUAGAGGUGAAAUCCCGGAGCUCAACUCCGGAACUGCCUUUAAUACUGCCAAUCUAGAGACCGAGAGAGGUAAGUGGAACUCCUAGUGUAGA
rnacentral:rRNA from 1 species